CCCAGGACCUCUGCAUGUCAUCACAAACUUGCUCAGACUGUGACAAGGAAGGAAAUCGUCCCAAGGUUGACUGCCAGCGGUUGCUUACAUUUCAAGCAAACAAACUGUGGAAGUUUAGAACAUUUAUCCCAAGACAAUCUAUUCAGCCAUGCUGCUUUAGAGAGAGUUCUGGUGUCUCAUGUGGCCCUGCAGCUUCUCCUCCUCCACCUCCUCCUGAAGCCUUCAUCUUCUUCAUCAUCAGCUGCUCAGUGACUCUGUUGGACGUCUCACUGUGUGGCAGCAGCUCAGGAGUUUGCAGUCAACCAAGGCCGACUCAGAAUCACUCCCACCGGGAAGAUCUGUGAAGGAAGGUCCACCCGGCUGGUCCAGAAGCUCCGGUCCAGCAGAGCAGCGUCAGGAUGGAGACGUAACCGGACUGCAGAUCUACAGGAAACACAGGAAAUAAUGGCUCUGAGUCAAACAUUGAGGCUGUCACAACUACACAUCUGGAGCGACUUUCAGCUCAUCCACCAAUAAAUACAAUGCUUUCCGCUGGAGUUGAAAUGAUGCAGGUUUGGAAAUAAACUGUCUGAGAGAGAACAUGUAAACCAGCAGAGGAUGUGAGAGGUCAAGACGUCAUCACAUCUGACCUGUUAUUCUUGUUUCCUUCAGGAACUUCAGAUUCACAUUUGCUGGCUUGUCUCUAGUAGCACUGCACAGCUUUCCAAGAAAGUAUCAUGUUAAUUUCAGAAAAUAUUAGCUGCACAUCCAUGAGUCAUUGCUCAAAUGCAACAAAUUGGCUUUAAAUCUUUACUUUAUCAUCACAACUGUGCACCAGCCAGCUCAAAAGACACAUUUGCAAUUUGUUCUACUGCUCCUGGCACCUUUUUGCUAAAUUUUUAGACCAAAAACUCCCUUUUCUAUCUCAUAGCAUCUUUCUCUUGAAUCAAAAAUGCUGCGAUCUCUGUGGGGCUCUGAAGUCUUUAUAUGAACACAUCUGUCACUCAUCAUACUCAUUAAUGAAUGUCCGUGACCCAGUUUUGUUUGUGGUAGGAAAGUUAAAAUAAUUUUUUGAUGGUGUUACAGAAAGUGGUCACCGUGUGGUGCAAAGGAAAAACUGAGAAAUGUACCUGUAAAUCAUGACCGAUUUUGUUUUCAGCUUUGAUAUUUAUUCCAGUUAUACUUUUAUUGUGGAAACUGUUGCUCUCUGAUAUUAUUCAGGGAUCAUAAAUGAUCCAUUGAGGCAUUCAGUUUUUUUAAAUGUCUGAAAAAUGCUCAAACCUUCAGUCUAUUAUACAUUAUAAUGAACUUAAUAUCAACAGCGAACAGAACUGUUAGGAAACUGUCAGUUACUGCUUACACAGAAAUAAGUGGUCAGUCAAUAACGUCUUGUAAUAGAAGUGAAAAUAAAAGGCUACUGCAUCUUUUGUAAAAUAAUAAAACGGAAAUAAAAUGAGAAAUGUUUUGCAGUUAAUUGUAUAAAAAAGACCUCAUGGUACCUUAAUUAAUCAGAGCUCCAGCAGUAGCAGGGCUGCAAAAUAAAAUGAACAUGGAGCACAGUAAUAAUUUUAGCUCGUCACCUUUUUAUGAGCACCAACCACAGGUGUAUUUACACUUAAACAUGACGUGUUCCUGUGUGAAAAAAAAAACCACUUGGUGUCACUUCAAACAAAUCUGACAUUACAACGCCCUAUUUCACACUUUACAAAGUAAUUAGUGGUCAUCUGAGCACCAAACAGCAGCAACCACAGCCUGCUCUGGGGGGCGUUUGAAGAACAUCGGUAAAUUUAGGGUUUCUCAUAAAGCAGAUGUUCGGUUAGUGAGAUGUUUUUGCCUGUGACAAGGUUUGAGGUGCGACCAGUGAAAAAGUUAGUCUGGAUCCCUGUUAAUGCUCCAGUGGUUCAGCUUUAAAUAAUAAUAUAUGUUCUGUGAGAAAUGUUCAGUAUGAUUAUAGCAGGGUCAGUAUAUAAUUGCAGGACUUUUUAUAACAUAGCUGACAGGUAUCAUAGUUGACAUUUUCGCUGUUUUCAGGCCUAAAAUCAACAUGGCUGCCUAUAACCAAACACCACAUGGCAUUUUUACAUUAAGAUUCUUCUAAAAUAUUAUAUAUACAACUGAGUAAAAUUGAAAGUUAUUUAUAAAGAUAUUGUAGUAAACCUGUUGACAUCCCAUAAAUCCACACUUGACUCACACACUACUUUACAUUAAAUAAGUCAGAAAGCCUUGGAGUCUGGCCAGUCUUUUCUUCAGGAGGAAAUGACAUCAUGUGGAGCAGGUCAUGUGAUCUGGAAUUAACACACUUCCUUGAGAGGUGUUUUUGUAACGGGGAACUUAGUUGAAAGUGAUUUCUGGGACACAGAUACAAUU